rnacentral:rRNA from 1 species
CAAUAGCGUAUAUUAAAGUUGUUGCGGUUAAAAAGCUCGUAGUUGGAUUUCUGCUGAGAACGACCGGUCCGCCCUCUGGGUGUGUAUCUGGCUCUUUCUUGGCAUCUUCUUGGUGAACGUUGCUGCACUUGACUGUGUGGAGCGCUACCCAGGACUUUUACUUUGAGGAAAUUAGAGUGUUUCAAGCAGGCAUACGCCUUGAAUACAUUAGCAUGGAAUAAUAAGAUAGGACCUCGGUUCUAUUUUGUUGGUUUCUAGAGCUGAGGUAAUGAUUAAUAGGGAUAGUUGGGGGCAUUCGUAUUUAACUGUCAGUGGUGAAAUUCUUGGAUUUGUUAAAGACGGACUACUGCGAAAGCAUUUGCCAAGGAUGUUUUCAUUGA